rnacentral:rRNA from 1 species
UGAAAUUCGGUGCCAGUAGCUGCGGGAAUACGGAGGAGCCGAUCGUGAGCCUGAGUUAAUGGUUUUAAAUGGUGCGUAGAUGGAUGUUUAUGUCAUUUGUGAAAGUUUGCGGCUCAACCGUAAAAUUGCAGUGUAUACUGGAUAUCUUGAGUGCAGUUUAGGCAGUCUGAAUUCGGGGUGUAGCGGUGAAAUGCUUAGAUAUCACGAGGAACUCCGAGUGCGAAGGCAGCUUGCUAAGCUGCAACUGACAUGGAGGCACGAAAGUGUGGGUAUCAAACAGGAUUAGAUACCCGAGUAGUC